UAUUGGAGAAGAUUAGAAGUUGG
rnacentral:piRNA from 1 species